UUGUUUGAUUUUAAUCAAGACUCUGACGCAAGGACAAAAGAGUUUGUGUUGUCUGCCGGGGUCCCCCCCGCAUUCGCGGGGGCUCCCCCGAGGCAUACGAGUCGGGGUUCCAACUAACAAAGGGUGGGAGAUCGGGCAAAGCCCUAAUCCACGGUAAUGAUCCCUCCGCAGGUUCACCUACGGAGA
rnacentral:misc_RNA from 1 species